AUGGUGGUGGCUUUGUUUGCUCUUUUUAACCAGAGCUAUGGAGAGAAAGUGUGUGCUUACGGAUCGUCGUUGGCCCCAGACUGUAAAGAUCCGUUAUUCUGCCGUAGAGAUUUUCUAAGACAAACUGGUUUCUAUCCUCAAAAUUGCGUUUGUAGUGUUUCAUUUACGAUAGCCACUUGCUCAUGUACCGCUAUUUGUCCACCAUCUGCCAAAGAAAAGAAGCUUUUGUCUCUUUAA